CUCCUAAAUUUUUGCUAUUGUUGUGGGAGGUUGAGUCAUUCCAAUCGGGACUAUGAUUUGUGGCUAUCUAAGAGGGAAGUUGUUGAACGGGAGGGGUUUCCUUAUGGUUCUUGUCUGCAGGUAGAUGGUGGAACUAACAUGUCUCAUAGUUGUAAAAAUCCUUUCGUGGUCGAGUCACGCUCUGUUCCUGAGAACCCAUUAGCGGUUGGUAAUCACUUGGGGGAUGUCUCUUUGCUGCAAAAAAAAGUGUUGAUGCAUCCAUGUCCACUAUCUGUUGGUGGUUUGGUGAUGGAGUCAAAGGAGGAUGCAAUCACUACUGAGGGUAACUGCUUGCAGAGGUUGAAGAUGACAAAUUGGGGCUCUAUUCAACGAGGCUCCAGUAGUUUGGGCCUUCCUAGGCCUCCCAAUGACACCGAGACUGAUAAUGUUCUAACAUCAUCUAAUGGGCCUUUGAUUUUGACUAGGGCUUUUGAUGGUCCACAACCACUUACUUGGCCAAAAACCACACGAGUUAACUCAUGAAAGCUAAUUAGGGCUUCAUCUUUAAAGACGAAGGGGAAGGCGCGACGGAGGGGACUGCAUCUUCUCUGGAGAAUACAAGUAAGCGUUUGAUUUGCUUACCUUCUAAACGAAAUGUUUGAGUCUUGAUCUUCAACUAUGGAAUCACAGUUUUUUUGAUCUAAAUCGGAUCAAAUCCUCAGAUGAGGACCGUUUGCUGGAGGUUGAUAAUCAACACCGCCGACAACCAUGAAAGUUUUCAAUUGGAACUCCCGUGGACUUGGAAACGCACAGAGAGUUUGUGUACUUCACGACUUGGUCUGAAGAGAAGCUUCCAAUGUGGUUUUCAUGAUGGAGACCAAUUCUGCUGCAUGUUCAAUGGAAUGUCUAAAAUUUUUAUUGAGUUUUUCUAGUGUUUUGGUGGUGGAUUGUGCUGACCGUAGUGGAGGGUUGGUUUUAUUCUGGAAGGGGGACACUGAUUUAACUCUGUUAUCAUAUUCCAAGCAUCAUUUUGAUACUUGGGUGAUAGAUUGGGAUACUAGUUUGAAGAGUAGAAUUAUUGUUGUGUAUGGUCAUCCUAAUGUAUGGUCAUUCCUGAGGUUAGUCAUAGAAGUGCAAUGUGGAACUUAUUGAAGUCACUGUCGGUUCAAGAUCACAGUCCUUGGCUCUACUUUAGAGAUUUUAAUAAAAUUAUUUCUAAUUCAAAGAAGCAAGGGGGCAGGGUUCAUAUGGAGGGACAGAUGCAAGGUUUUCGUGAUGCACUAGAUUUUUGUGGACCGAAAGGGCUUGAUUUUGAGGGCUUUUUAUUUACUUGGUCUAACUUGAGAGAGGGGGAUGCACUUAUUAAAGAAUGCCUAGAUCAUUUUCUUGCUGCUCCAUAUUGGCUUUCUAUGUUCCCAAAUGAGUUAGAGUUUGGAAAGAAGCUAUCAUAAGGAGGCCCAUGUACAAGAGUUGAAACCCAUGAGGAUUCCUGGACUUGCAACCAAAGUCUUAAUUUAAACCCAAUAGAAGGCCAUGUGCAGAAUGAAAUGGGGCACACAUCUUAUGCCUCACGUCUCAUGCCUCAAGAGUUGGGAAGGAUGCGCCUGAUGCCUAUGUGCAGCAGUAGUGGAACACACGAGUAAAAUCGGGAGCACGCCUACGUGUUGUAGCUGGGAGAUGGACGCACGGAACAUAGAAAUUUGAUGCACGCCUACGUGCUGUAACUGGGAGAGGAAAUCCUGGGGACUACGAGAAGCCGUUACGAAGAGGGUGCGGUCUGUAGCAAGGAGAGAGAGAGAGAGAGAGAGAGAGAGAGAGAAGAUUAUGAGAAUAAAAGGAAUGGGAAUUUCUAGGUGAAGAGGUUAGCUAGUUUUCAUUCUAAUUUCCUUAAAGACUUUCUUUUCAGUUUUCUGUAUUUUCUUCGAGGAGUUUCGAUUUCAUUUUUUUGGGAUUUAUUUUGGUUCUUCUUUCGGACAACAUGAGUUCUCGAUAUUAUUUUUAGCAUUUCUUGUUAAUUUUCCAGAGUGUAUUCGAGAGGCUAUUUUUGCACUCUAAAGUUUAUCCCAUUUGGGUUUCUUUUACUGUCAGAUUUUGUGAUGGCUUUAUUUAGAUUAA